rnacentral:misc_RNA from 1 species
GGUGAUUAUCAUAUUUUAUUAAAGAUACAAGGCACAGUAGGGCGCAGCGCCUAGGCAUGCACCCUUGAAUAUGAGGUGAAAAGCAACAAAUUUGCUGGAAAAUUCAAAUUUAACAUCAUGCAUUCAUAAGAAAACUAUUACACAAGACAACAAAUUUGUAGCCCAUACUCUCUUCUUUUGUAUUAAGCACUGUGUUUAUAUAAACUCUCUUAUGGAAUUGUUACUGUUAGAAUUACUAGAAUCUAUAGUUCUUACCAAGGCAAAGCCACAAAGGGCAAAAAAGAGUAUGGGAAGACAAAUCUAUUAGAAACCAUAUUUAAGACAAAAGGAAUGUUAAUCUAAUAUUAUAGGCUUCUUAAAACUCAAUUUGGGGGAAAAAAAAGAAGAAGAAAUAAGUGAAAUAAAGGUAUAGGAAGGGGACAGGAGGGCAGGGGAAAGGAAAAAAGAAAAUAGAGAAACAAGAGAGAGAGAGAGAGA